rnacentral:tRNA from 1 species
GCGGCCGUAGUCUAGCCUGGAUUUAAGACAGAUAGGAUACCGGCCUUCCGAGCCGGAGACCCGGGUUCAAAUCCCGGCGGCCGCA